rnacentral:rRNA from 1 species
GACGAACGCUGGCGGCGUGCUUAACACAUGCAAGUCGAACGGAAAGGCCUCUUUCGGGGGGUACUCGAGUGGCGAACGGGUGAGUAACACGUGAGUAACCUGCCCUUGACUUUGGGAUAACUUCAGGAAGCUGGGGCUAAUACCGGAUAGGAGCUCCUGCUGCAUGGUGGGGGUUGGAAAGUUUCGGCGGUUGGGGAUGGACUCGCGGCUUAUCAGCUUGUUGGUGGGGUAGUGGCUUACCAAGGCUUUGACGGGUAGCCGGGCUGAGAGGGUGACCGGCCACAGUGGGACUGAGAUACGGCCCAGACUCCUACGGGAGGCAGCAGUGGGGAAUAUUGCACAAUGGGUGGAAGCCUGAUGCAGCAACGCCGUGUGCGGGAUGACGGCCUUCGGGUUGUAAACCGCUUUCGCUCAUGACGAAGCUUUGUGUGACGGUAGUGGGUAAAGAAGCACCGGCUAACUACGUG